UUCAUUGUAAGUGCUAGGAAGAAUGUUGUGUCAUGAUGUUUGACUACAUUGUAUUUGAACCAUGGUCUCAAAACAGACUAGGAAAGUUAUGAUUUGAAGGAAAGUGUCCUUCAUGUGCGAGAAAUCACAUGGUUCAACAUCAAAUAUAGGUUUCCAUUCUUCCUCCUUUGGCUUUAAUUUUCGUAACUAGCAUUGCUGCACAGCUUGCUGACAACUUAAUUGCCAAUGGAGUUGAAACCACUACGGUGCGAAAGAUUUGCCAAGCAGUUGCCUUUUUGUCUCCUGCCGUUUGCAUGACUCUCUCCUCUGUUGAUCUAGGGCUACCACCUUGGGAAAUUGGGGGGAAUCUAACCGGUGGCUUGGCCCUCUCAAGCUUUGCC